AGUCUUAUAGUCAAAAUUUAAUGAUAUAAAAUUGCAAAUUUUAUGGUAUAAUUUAUUAUUAAGGCUU
rnacentral:tRNA from 1 species